GACAAACGCUGGCGGCGUGCGUAAAACAUGCAAGUCGAACGGUCGGUUCGCCGGCCGUGGCAGACGGCUGAGUAACGCGUAGGAACCUGCCCAGGCGUGGGGGAUAACCGCCCGAAAGGGUGGCUAAUACCGCAUACGGUCCUUCGGGAAGAAAGCCCAUGGUGCGCUUGGAGGGGCCUGCGUCCGAUUAGCUGGUUGGCGGGGUAACGGCUCACCAAGGCGAUGAUCGGUAGCUGGUCUGAGAGGAUGAUCAGCCAGACUGGGACUGGGACACGGC
rnacentral:rRNA from 1 species